GAUGAACGCUAGCGGCAGGCCUAAUACACGCAAGUCGAACGGUGUCUUCGGACAUAGUGGCGCACGGGUGCGUAACACGUAUGCAACCUACCUUACAUUGGGGGAUAGCCUUUCGAAAGGGAGAUUAAUACCGCAUAAGACAGUAGCUGGGCAUCCAGCAGCUGUUAAAGAUUUAUCGAUGUAGGCUGGGCAUGCGUCCAAUUAGCUAGUUGGUGAGGUAACGGCUCACCAAGGCAAUGAUUGGUAGGGGAACUGAGAGGUCAAUCCCCCACACUGGCACUGAGAUGCGGGCCAGACUCCUACGGGAGGCAGCAGUAGGGAAUAUUGGGCAAUGGACGCAAGUCUGACCCAGCCAUGCCGCGUGCAGGAUGAAGGCGUUAUGCGUUGUAAACUGCUUUUAUACAGGAAGAAACGACUCUUGCGAGAGGCAUUGACGGUACUGUAUGAAUAAGCACCGGCUAACUCCGUGCCAGCAGCCGCCGUAA
rnacentral:rRNA from 1 species